rnacentral:hammerhead_ribozyme from 1 species
AUUCAUCUGACGAGUCCCGAAUAGGACGAAACGCGUGUCAAACUUGAU